rnacentral:rRNA from 1 species
UACAGAGGUCCCGAGCGUUGUUCGGAUUCACUGGGCGUAAAGGGUGCGUAGGUGGUGAGGUAAGUCGGAUGUGAAAUCUCCAGGCUCAACCUGGAAACUGCAUUGGAAACUACCUUGCUGGAGGAUUUGAGGGGGGAUUGGAAUACUUGGUGUAGCAGUGAAAUGCGUAGAUAUCAUGAGGAAGACCAGUGGCGAAGGCGGGUCUCUGGACAGUUCCUGACACUGAGGCACGAAGGCCAGGGGAGCAAACGGG